UCUGCAGCAGCAUCUUAGCAGUGAAGAAGACAUUGCCAGCUGGCUUCCUUUGCCACGCCACAGGAGAGUACUCCCUCUGUGUUUUUUCCGUGACGUCUCCUUCACUGCGCUGGCACACGACACAUGCAGUCCUGUUCUUCUGCAACAUAACAGUAAUUUUGUCCAUAGACGACUGACUUUCUCGUGAAACCAAAAAGUUGCAUACACUUAAGGAAGUGAGAUGGUUCGUGUGUUGGCAUGGAGUCUGGAAGCAACAGUUGCUCAGGUUUCUGCGCAGCAUCAUAUCAGCUCCUUGUUCUGCACUUUUCUGGUCAGGAUGGUCUCAGGAAUCCCUCCCAGAUGAAAGGUCAAAGUGCUCCAGUACUUUCCCGGUGGUAUCAUUACUUAGAACUGCUACUAUCAUGACAGCUGUGUUUUGAAGUUUCCAGCCAACGUGAUGUUCAGCUGCUGAGUUAUUGCCAGUUUAAAAGCUCUGUUACCACCUACUGUCAGUAUCCAAGCUGAACUAAAGCUACUCUUUCGAAAUAGGUGUUAAAAUUGUCUCUGCAUUAUUAAACAAAAUGGCAACAUAAAAAUAAACACCCUGUUGAUAUAAAAUACACACAUAUUAUGUAUGUUUGAUACGUAUUUGCUGUGCUUAUUGCUAUGUUACUGUCUUUAUGGACAUAAAGUCUAGUAAACUUUGA